GGGAGCGUUCUGUAAGCCUGUGAAGGUGUACUGUGAGGUAUGCUGGAGGUAUCAGAAGUGCGAAUGCUGACAUAAGUAACGAUAAAGCGGGUGAAAAGCCCGCUCGCCGGAAGACCAAGGGUUCCUGUCCAACGUUAAUCGGGGCAGGGUGAGUCGACCCCUAAGGCGAGGCCGAAAGGCGUAGUCGAUGGGAAACAGGUUAAUAUUCCUGUACUUGGUGUUACUGCGAAGGGGGGACGGAGAAGGCUAUGUUGGCCGGGCGACGGUUGUCCCGGUUUAAGCGUGUAGGCUGGUUUUCCAGGCAAAUCCGGAAAAUCAAGGCUGAGGCGUGAUGACGAGGCACUACGGUGCUGAAGCAACAAAUGCCCUGCUUCCAGGAAAAGCCUCUAAGCAUCAGGUAACAUCAAAUCGUACCCCAAACCGACACAGGUGGUCAGGUAGAGAAUACCAAGGCGCUUGAGAGAACUCGGGUGAAGGAACUAGGCAAAAUGGUGCCGUAACUUCGGGAGAA
rnacentral:rRNA from 1 species